UACGUAGGGGGCAAGCGUUGUCCGGAUUCAUUGGGCGUAAAGAGCGUGUAGGCGGCCAGGUAGGUCGGUUGUGAAAACUGGAGGCUCAACCUUCAGACGUCGACCGAAACCAUCUGGCUAGAGUCCGGGAGAGGAGAGUGGAAUUCCUGGUGUAGCGGUGAAAUGCGCAGAUAUCAGGAAGAACACCCGUGGCGAAAGCGGCUCUCUGGAACGGUACUGACGCUGAGGCGCGAAAGCGUGGGGAGCGAACAGG
rnacentral:rRNA from 1 species